GAGCAGAGGAGGCUGGUGGGAGGAGCUUUAUGAGGUAAUAGAGAGCAGAGGAGGCUGGUGGGAGGAGCUUUAUGAGGUAAUAGAGAGCAGAGGAGGCUGGGAGGAGCUUUGAGGUAAUAGAGAGCAGAGGAGGCUGGUGGGAGGAGCUUUGAGGUAAUAGAGAGCAGAGGAGGCUGGUGGGAGGAGCUUUGAGGUAAUAGAGAGCAGAGGAGGCUGGUGGGAGGAGCUUUAUGAGGUAAUAGAGAGCAGAGGAGGCUGGUGGGAGGAGCUUUAUGAGGUAAUAGAGAGCAGAGGAGGCUGGUGGGAGGAGCUUUGAGGUAAUGGCUGGAAUGGAAUUAAUGGAACGGUACCAAACGUUUCCUUUUUAAUUUUUUUAACUUUACCCCCUUUUCUCCCCAAUUUCGUGGUGUCCAAUUGUUAGUAGCUACUAUCUUGUCUCAUCGCUACAACUCCCGUACGGGCUCGGGAGAGACGAAGUUCGAAAGCCAUGCGUCCUCCGAUACACAACCCAACCAAGCCACACUGCUUCUUAACACAGCGCGCAUCCAACCCGGAAGCCAGCCGGAGGAAACACCGUGCACCUGGUGACCUGGACAGCGUGCACUGGCCCGGCCCACCACAGGAGUCGCUGGUGCACAAUGAGACAAGGACAUCCCUACCGACCAAACCCUCCCUAACCUGGACGACGCUACCGGCCAAUUGUGCGUCGGCUGUCUGUUAAACGCAUGUUUAACUCCGUUUCAUUGGUUGCAAUCCAACCAUUUAGAAUGAGCCUGUCCUCCUAUAGCUCCUCCCACCAGCCUCCUGUGAUGGAGAGAAGUGAUCAUUUCAAGGAGACUUAGUUAGAUGCAUGGAAAGGAAUUUCUAGACUAUGGUGAUAAGGAAUGUUACUGACUAUACA
ensembl:lncRNA